UCGGAUGUGGUGCACGGUGCACAUCGGCUCUCAAUAAGCGGGUUUCAUUAUGGCUGUAAGCUGAAAGCUGGGGUUCGACUCCCCGCAUCCGAA